ACCAAAGUCCAUUUCUGUUCCUGGAGAGUACAUGUUCAAUAAUAAUGCCAAAUGUGUGGCUGCCUUCAGCAAAGGGCUGAAACGUGUUCUUGGGUAUCUGGCACAGACAGGCAUAGUGCAGACUAAUAUUGGACUUGACUCAAAGUUGGACUUGCUAGAAAAACAAGGACAGAAAAACAACAAGUGCACAAUGACCACACGAAAGAAGAACCCUUUCAAAAUAUACAUUGACUUCAUCAAGCAGCUAAACACCAGCAGAUGAAGAUACACCUCUGAUUUCUGCAAGGCAACUCAAGAGUUUUGGAUAUUUACUAUUUAUUAGUUGUUAUUGUCAUUUUUUAAAAUUUAUUUAUUCACGUCAGUUUUCCUGAUGUAUUUAUUUCAAAUUCGUAUUUAUUUGAGUUUGCAGGUAAUGUCGUUUUAUGCAAACAUUUGUAAUUUCAACUGAAUAUUUCAGUUCAACGGAGAUGUGAUGCUGCUUUGAAAAAUAA